UUUUCUUUGUAGCCCCGUUUGAAUGUUGCGGUAGCGCACAUUUGUACGGAAUGAGCACUAUCCAGAAGUUCACCUGGGCAGGCCCAAAAAAGGCAGAAAAGCCAGUCUUGUUCUCUCUCUACCCCAGCCCAGGAUGAAUUUAACGGGGACACGCCUAGACGUGGGCAAUCCAGGGAUUCAGCUGGCCGUUCUAGAUGCUCUCCUUCCCCAUCUCACUUCACACACGGGCUUCUACUAGCCAGUCCCACCUCCAGAGCAGGGAGCACAGACGUUUUCCAAAUCCCCCCUGUUACUCUACCAGACAAGAUUCAUCCAGGGCUUCUACUUGCCAGGCCCAACAGAGCCAAGAGCAUCGGAGCUCUCACCCUCCCAUUCCCUCCGCUAGACCAGAGCUGUUUCCCAUGAAUAAUGCCAAGAUAUUGGAGGGGAAACGUGUUGGGAGAUCAGAGCCCCGAGACUCUUUGAGUUCCAUGUCAAGAUGAUGGAGACGGAGCAAGACUUUGAGCAACUAGAGAAGCAGCGCCGAAGUGUGGAUGCACAGAAUCUGAUGGCUCUUUACCAAUGGCCUGAUGUCCUUGUUCAACUUCAACGACCAUCACGCAAUGCAGGGACUAGGAAACACAACUGUGUACUCUGUUGUCAAUGGUACCUACAAACAUGUAAUUAUUCUGUAGUAUAUUUUGUAUUAAUAACUGGGUGGUUUGAGCCCUGAAAGCUGAUUGGCUAACAGCCAUGGUAUAUUUAAGCAAUAAUACAUGAGUGCCCAUGUGUUAUGAUGACAUUUAUCAUGGCUGUGAGUGUCAUAGCCAUAAAAGCGAAGUCCUCUGGGACACACAAUACAUGGUUACAGUCUGUAUCCAGCCGCGCUGAGUUGCGUUGUGCAUGUUGGAUCCUGUGUUGGCCUUUCUCAUGAUGGAAAAAUACAGAAGACAGGAACUAUGCAAUGAGUUGGGGGGGGGGGGGGGCACAUUCAGAGCGUGGGGUUGCAGAACAAGAGGUCUUUUGUUAGAUAACAGGAGCCAGGUGCGAGAUAACGGUAUGGAGCAUGAGAGCCUGGAUGUUCUUCACAGCAACAGUUACAUCUAUCAACAGAAGCGCCAAGAGGCGGGGACCCGCCUGAGCGCCUGCAAUAGGCUGAGCAAGUUUAAACCACGCCCAGCCUCUACUGUGAUAGGCCAACUGACGGGUUGGAACUGUAUCACAGUAUAAAGAAUACUGUUUACAUACAUCUUGUCAGUUCUCUGUUCUGCCCUGCGUGGUAUUACAGAGAGCCCGUAUAUACGAAAGUUGCAUUUGCCAUUUAUUACUUAGCUAAUAAAAAAUACAUAGUAUACAA